CAGAAAAUAGUUUAAUAAAAAUAAUAAUUUUGGAGAUUAUUGAUAAUAUAUAAAUAUAUUUUUUCUGA
rnacentral:tRNA from 1 species